AUGGCUAGAAAACAUGAGCAUUUUGGAUUAAACUAUUUGGAAGAGUUGAAUAUAGUUAAAGAGCGUGAAAAUAUAUCAAAAAAAUCUCGAGAAGAAUUUCUAAAGUUUAAACAAACUGCUGCUGCCCACACAGAUCUGUAUAGAUCGCUAUUGGAGAUCACGCCUCCAGAAUGGUCAUCUGAAGUACUGCCUAUGUUUAGGGGAAGCUCAAGAAGCCCACCCCUGCUUCUGGAAGAUACAGAUUCCAACCCUGAAUUGGAUGCUUCUAAAAUUAAAGAAAAAGUAAGGAUAUUCUCUGCAGAUCAAACAGGUGAUGGCACAACACGACCAAAGAAAUCUCCAAAGAAAGAUGAUACUGUUUAUAAAAAACAGUGCAGAAGAAGCAGUCGAGUUGAAGAUGUAGGACAAGCAGCGCCAGUAGCAAUAGCUUCAGUCGUGGGUACCACCAAAAAGCUCACCAUGUUGAAGAAGCCAGAGCCUCCACCAAAGCCCAAGUGUAAAAUGGUUCAUCAUGCAAAGUCACCACCUAAGCGUUCGAUUCCUUUACAGAAAAGCGGUUUGGAAACUGAACAGCCAGAGCAAAGAGUGCAGUCAGAAACUGUAGUUCCUACACUUUCGGGACGUAGUACUCUUGUUAUAGAAAUUAGAGACUCACGUUCAGUGAUUAGCAGUUCAAGUGAAAAAUCUCCCAAGAUACAAAGAAAAAUUUCAAAACCUCAUCANCUGAGUCCACUGAUGGACUCAGAAAAAUCACUUAGUAAAAAAAGCAGCCGCCCAUCCAGCAUGAAGUCUGCUACGGAAUCUUUGGAAGAAACCCUGGCUGGAAGUAGAUCAGACACUUCAAAAGCACAGAUGAGGCACUUUGCACGGAGUAGGUCGCAAAUACAUGGGGCUUCUAAACAUUCGCCUUCUGGAGUGGUUCCACGGUCUAUUGAUGAAAUAAUUGCAUCUCUAAAAUCUACAACCCCAACUCCCUCAGACCUGAGGAUCAAAGAGCUCCUGGAGAGUAUU
rnacentral:lncRNA from 1 species